UACGUAGGGGGCUAGCGUUGUCCGGAAUCAUUGGGCGUAAAGAGCGUGUAGGCGGUCCGGUAAGUCCGCUGUGAAAGUCGGGGGCUCAACCCUCGAAUGCCGGUGGAUACUGUCGGGCUAGAGUGCGGAAGAGGCGAGUGGAAUUCCGUGGUGUAGCGGUGAAAGUGACGCAGAUAUCAGGAGGAACACCUAUUGCGAAGGCAGCUCGCUGGGACGUAACUGACGCUGAGACGCGAAAGCGUGGGGAGCAAACAGG
rnacentral:rRNA from 1 species